rnacentral:lncRNA from 1 species
CAGAUCAAUGAGACAGAAGGUUAAUAAGGAUAUCCAGGACUUGAACUCAGCUCUGGACCAAGCAGACCUAAUAGACAUCUACAGAACUCUCCACCCCAAAUCAACAGAAUACAUUCUUCUCAGCACCACAUCGCACUCAUUCUAAAACCGACCACAUAGUUGGCAGUAAAACACUCCUCAGCAAAUGUAAAAGAACAGAAAUCACAACAAACUGUCUCUCAGACCACAGUGCAAUCAAAUUAGAACUCAGGAUUAAUAAACUCACUCAAAACCACACAACUACAUGGAAACUGAACAACCUACUCCUGAAUGACUACUGGGUAAAUAACAAAAUGAAGGCAGACAUAAAGAUGUUCUUUGAAACCAAUGAGAACAAAGACGCAACAUACCAGAAUCUCUGGGACACGUUUAUAUCAGUGUGUACAGGGAAAUUUAUAUCACUAAAUGCCCAUAAGAGGAAGCAGGAAAGAUCUAAAAUUGACACCCUAACAUCACAAUUAAAAGAACUAGAGAAGCAAGAGCAAACAAAUUCAAAAGCUAGCAGAAGGCAAGAAAUGACUAAGAUCAGAGCAGAACUGAAGGAGAUAGAGACACAAAAAACCCUUCAAAAAAAUCAAUGAAUCCAGGAGCUGGUUUUUUGAAAACAAAAUAGAUAGAGGACUGGCCAGACUAAUAAAGAAGAAAAGAGAGAAGAAUCAAAUAGAGACAAUAAAAAAUGACAAAGGGGAUAUCAUCACUGAUCCCACAGAAAUACAAACCGCCAUCAGAGAAUGCUAUAAACACGUCUAUGCAAAUAAACUAGAAAAUCUAGAAGAAAUGGAUAAAUUCCUGGACACAUACACCCUCCCAGACUGAACCAGGAAGAAGUUGAAUCUCUGAAAAGACCAAUAGCAGGUUCUGAAAUUGAGACAAUAAUUAAUAGCCUACCAACCAAAAAAAGGCCAGGACCAGACGGAUUCACAGCCGAAUUCUACCAGAGGUACAAAGAGGAGCUGGUACCAUUCCUUCUGAAACUAUUUCAAUCAAUAGAAAAAGAGGGAAUCCUCCCUAAAUCAUUUUAUUAGGCUAGCAUCAUCCUGAUACCAAAGCCUGGUAGAGACACCACAAAAAAAGAGAAUUUUAGGCCAAUAUCCCUGAUGAACAUUGAUGCAAAAAUCCUCAAUACAAUACUGGCAAACCAAAUCCAGCAGCACAUCAAAAAGUUUAUCCACCAUGAUCAAGUCAGCUUCAUCCCUGAGAUGCAAGGCUGGUUCAACACACACAAAUCAAUAAACGUAACCCAUCACAUAAACAGAACCAACAACAAAAACCACAUGGACAGAGAAAUAGAUUCCUGGGAGGAAGAAUAGCAAAAUGUCUGGAGUAAGAG